UGGGGCCUCGUGUAACCAAUUCGCUUUUGCUCCUCAGUCAAAACGGACGCAGAAAAUCUGACGCCCCCUUCCAUGAGGAGUAGGCAGAUUCUGGAAGGAAACCCCAAAGGGGAGGAGAUCUCGGUCAGCUAGCAGGUUCCGCGCUCACCUGGUAAGACAGCCUUCUUAGGACUACAACCAAGGAAGACUAGAUACCCCUCCUCCUGUUGGGACGCACUUUCGGGAAACACUGCCACGGCUUCCGGAAUGGAGAGCGCACGUUCGCGCGCGGGGAGAGGCGUCACUUCCGCUCUGGCCCCCGACCUGCGCAGUUGGCCUUGUGAAGGCCGUGCCCGCGGGGUUAGCGCCAACGCUCGGCGUGCGAGGGUGAAGCCCAACGCUAGGGAGGGAAGUCCAGUCAGCUUAAGCCAUGGAAGGAAUGGAGGUCGGUGGGGGCAGAAGAACUGCAGAAGGCCUGUCUGGGGAAAGCACAGGAAUUUGGGAGGAACCUAUGGGCCACUCAGAAGUAUGAACAUUCAAGAUGUUUGGAGAAGAGCUUUCCCUCCGGGGCCAGGUCAGUUCCAGCUCUGCAGCAGAUAUAUUGAAAGGAUUGAGUGUGGAUACCUAUUCAGAGUCUGAAAAAAGAUGUAAUCAAUCAAACCGGAAGCUCCUGGGCAGUGACUAAAAGCGUGGGCUCUGGAGCUACGUGAUAGCAUCUGCACGGACAUCGUGACAGCCACUUACCAGUUGUGUGGCUCUGAGCGAGGUACCUGACUUCUCUGUGCUGGGGAGUGGGAAAGAUCAUUAAUACCCUCCAUUGGGUUGUUGUGGGGAGCAGACGAGU
rnacentral:lncRNA from 1 species